UAUAAAAUCUCCAGGACAACUCAAAAGAUACUGAUACUCAAUCAAAGCAUUGAUUAUGCUAAAAUCGUUUCCUUAAUGACAUAAUAUUACCGUUAUGAGGUUGCUUAAGUCGGUCGCUUCUAUAGUCCAUAUAAACUAUUAAAUUAAUAGUCCCUCUUCCCUCCGUAAGAAACCCUCGCCUCAAAAUUCCCCUCUCCCCAUUCUCGACAAAAACCCUCGCCUCAAAAUUCACCUCUCCCCAUUCUCAACAAAAACCCUAGUUCCCAUUAUAUUUCUCUAUAUACAUCUCUCCGAUCGUUCCCAUGGCGGCCGCGAGAAUUACCCUUUCCCUAUUCUCAACGAAAACCCUAGUUCCCAUUAUAUUUCGCCGAUCGUCCCAAUGUCUGCCGCGAGAAUUCCCCUCUCCAUAUUCUCAACAAAACCCUAGUUCUCUCUCUCUCUGAUCAUGCCAAUGGCGGCCGCGAGAAUUCCCCUUUCCCUUUUCUCUACAUUACUAGGGUUUUGUUGAGAAGGAGAUCAAGCGCCUUUUCUUUUGAUGAUGCGAGUUGAUUCUGGAUCAAAAUCUGGGUCUUUAUUGGUUUGGGACGUAGUGACAAAAGGCCAAGAGUAGAUGGAGACUUAAGUGCCUUUGGCAGGAGGCUGUUGUUGCAACCAUCAUGACUGUUGAUCCUGGAUCAAAAUCUGGGUCUUUAUUGGUUUGCGACGUAGUGACAAAAGGCCAGGAGUAGAUGGAGACUUAAAUGCCUUUGGCAGGAGGCUGUUGUCGCAACCGUCAUGACUGGUAAGAAGUCUUUCUUGCUUUUGCUUCGUUAGAUCUUGUUGUGUAG